UCCUUAGGUACCAGCAAAGCCUCAGGAGAUGUAGCACCAAGCGGGCUCUUGAAGUCCCUGAUUCCAGGACGGACUCUUGAAUGGCAUUUCUGGAUCUUCCCUAGGCAAGAGGUGAAGAAGACUUCUGGAAACUGAGAAGACCAAGAAGGAGGAGAGAAAGUGAAUGAAGGGUCACUGACCAAUGUGAAACUACUUGAUGCUUGCCAGCUGAACAGAACCAUGAUCAAUGGAAAAAAUAAUACAGAAAAUUAAUGAAUGGAUGAAUGAUAUGGUGAG
rnacentral:lncRNA from 10 species